GAUGAACGCUGGCGGCGUGCCUAAUACAUGCAAGUCGAGCGAACAGACGAGGAGCUUGCUCCUCUGACGUUAGCGGCGGACGGGUGAGUAACACGUGGAUAACCUACCUAUAAGACUGGGAUAACUUCGGGAAACCGGAGCUAAUACCGGAUAAUAUAUUGAACCGCAUGGUUCAAUAGUGAAAGACGGUUUUGCUGUCACUUAUAGAUGGAUCCGCGCCGCAUUAGCUAGUUGGUAAGGUAACGGCUUACCAAGGCGACGAUGCGUAGCCGACCUGAGAGGGUGAUCGGCCACACUGGAACUGAGACACGGUCCAGACUCCGACGGGAGGCAGCAGUAGGGAAUCUUCCGCAAUGGGCGAAAGCCUGACGGAGCAACGCCGCGUGAGUGAUGAAGGUCUUCGGAUCGUAAAACUCUGUUAUUAGGGAAGAACAAAUGUGUAAGUAACGAUGCACGUCUGGACGGUACCUAAGCAGAAAACCACGGCUAACUACGU
rnacentral:rRNA from 1 species